GGUUAAGCGACUAAGCGUACACGGUGGAUGCCCUGGCAGUCAGAGGCGAUGAAGGACGUGCUAAUCUGCGAAAAGCGUCGGUAAGGUGAUAUGAACCGUUAUAGCCGGCGAUGUCCGAAUGGGGAAACCCAGUGCAAUUCGUUGCACUAUCGUUAACUGAAUACAUAGGUUAACGAGGCGAACCGGGGGAACUGAAACAUCUAAGUACCCCGAGGAAAAGAAAUCAACCGAGAUUCCCCCAGUAGCGGCGAGCGAACGGGGAGCAGCCCAGAGUCUGAAUCAGCUUGUGUGUUAGUGGAACGGUCUGGAAAGUCCGACGGUACAGGGUGAUAGUCCCGUACACCAAAAUGCACAGGCUGUGAACUCGAAGAGUAGGGCGGGACACGUGGUAUCCUGUCUGAAUAUGGGGGGACCAUCCUCCAAGGCUAAAUACUCCUGACUGACCGAUAGUGAACCAGUACCGUGAGGGAAAGGCGAAAAGAACCCCGGCGAGGGGAGUGAAAAAGAACCUGAAACCGUGUACGUACAAGCAGUGGGAGCACCUUCGGGUGUGACUGCGUACCUUUUGUAUAAUGGGUCAGCGACUUAUAUUCUGUAGCAAGGUUAACCGUAUAGGGGAGCCGCAGGGAAACCGAGUCUUAACUGGGCGUUAAGUUGCAGGGUAUAGACCCGAAACCCGGUGAUCUAGCCAUGGGCAGGUUGAAGGUUGGGUAACACUAACUGGAGGACCGAACCGACUAAUGUUGAAAAAUUAGCGGAUGACUUGUGGCUGGGGGUGAAAGGCCAAUCAAACCGGGAGAUAGCUGGUUCUCCCCGAAAGCUAUUUAGGUAGCGCCUCGUGAACUCAUCUUCGGGGGUAGAGCACUGUUUCGGCUAGGGGGUCAUCCCGACUUACCAACCCGAUGCAAACUACGAAUACCGAAGAAUGUUAUCACGGGAGACACACGGCGGGUGCUAACGUCCGUCGUGAAGAGGGAAACAACCCAGACCGCCAGCUAAGGUCCCAAAGUCAUGGUUAAGUGGGAAACGAUGUGGGAAGGCACAGACAGCCAGGAUGUUGGCUUAGAAGCAGCCAUCAUUUAAAGAAAGCGUAAUAGCUCACUGGUCGAGUCGGCCUGCGCGGAAGAUGUAACGGGGCUAAACCAUGCACCGAAGCUGCGGCAGCGACACUAUGUGUUGUUGGGUAGGGGAGCGUUCUGUAAGCCUGCGAAGGUGUGCUGUGAGGCAUGCUGGAGGUAUCAGAAGUGCGAAUGCUGACAUAAGUAACGAUAAAGCGGGUGAAAAGCCCGCUCGCCGGAAGACCAAGGGUUCCUGUCCAACGUUAAUCGGGGCAGGGUGAGUCGACCCCUAAGGCGAGGCCGAAAGGCGUAGUCGAUGGGAAACAGGUUAAUAUUCCUGUACUUGGUGUUACUGCGAAGGGGGGACGGAGAAGGCUAUGUUAGCCGGGCGACGGUUGUCCCGGUUUAAGCAUGUAGGCUGAUUGUCCAGGCAAAUCCGGAUAAUCAAGGCUGAGGUGUGAUGACGAGGCACUACGGUGCUGAAGUAACAAAUGCCCUGCUUCCAGGAAAAGCCUCUAAGCAUCAGGUAACAUCAAAUCGUACCCCAAACCGACACAGGUGGUCAGGUAGAGAAUACCAAGGCGCUUGAGAGAACUCGGGUGAAGGAACUAGGCAAAAUGGUGCCGUAACUUCGGGAGAAGGCACGCUGGUGUGUAGGUGAAGUCCCUGCGGAUGGAGCUGAGACCAGUCGAAGAUACCAGCUGGCUGCAACUGUUUAUUAAAAACACAGCACUGUGCAAACACGAAAGUGGACGUAUACGGUGUGACGCCUGCCCGGUGCCGGAAGGUUAAUUGAUGGGGUUAUCCGUAAGGAGAAGCUCUUGAUCGAAGCCCCGGUAAACGGCGGCCGUAACUAUAACGGUCCUAAGGUAGCGAAAUUCCUUGUCGGGUAAGUUCCGACCUGCACGAAUGGCGUAAUGAUGGCCAGGCUGUCUCCACCCGAGACUCAGUGAAAUUGAACUCGCUGUGAAGAUGCAGUGUACCCGCGGCAAGACGGAAAGACCCCGUGAACCUUUACUAUAGCUUGACACUGAACAUUGAGCCUUGAUGUGUAGGAUAGGUGGGAGGCUUUGAAGCGUGGACGCCAGUCUGCGUGGAGCCAACCUUGAAAUACCACCCUUUAAUGUUUGAUGUUCUAACGUUGGCCCCUNACCGGGGUUGCGGACAGUGUCUGGUGGGUAGUUUGACUGGGGCGGUCUCCUCCCAAAGCGUAACGGAGGAGCACGAAGGUUAGCUAAUCCUGGUCGGACAUCAGGAGGUUAGUGCAAUGGCAUAAGCUAGCUUGACUGCGAGCGUGACGGCGCGAGCAGGUGCGAAAGCAGGUCAUAGUGAUCCGGUGGUUCUGAAUGGAAGGGCCAUCGCUCAACGGAUAAAAGGUACUCCGGGGAUAACAGGCUGAUACCGCCCAAGAGUUCAUAUCGACGGCGGUGUUUGGCACCUCGAUGUCGGCUCAUCACAUCCUGGGGCUGAAGUAGGUCCCAAGGGUAUGGCUGUUCGCCAUUUAAAGUGGUACGCGAGCUGGGUUUAGAACGUCGUGAGACAGUUCGGUCCCUAUCUGCCGUGGGCGCUGGAGAAUUGAGGGGGGCUGCUCCUAGUACGAGAGGACCGGAGUGGACGCAUCACUGGUGUUCGGGUUGUCAUGCCAAUGGCACUGCCCGGUAGCUAAAUGCGGAAGAGAUAAGUGCUGAAAGCAUCUAAGCACGAAACUUGCCCCGAGAUGAGUUCUCCCUGAGACUUUAAGUCUCCUGAAGGAACGUUAAAGACGAUGACGUUGAUAGGCCGGGUGUGUAAGCGCAGCGAUGCGUUGAGCUAACCGGUACUAAUGAACCGUGAGGCUUAACCUU
rnacentral:rRNA from 1 species